rnacentral:rRNA from 1 species
CCAUGCAAGUCGAACGGAGUGUUGCGCUGAAAUUGAUAUUAGCUUGCUAAAGGAUAUUUCUUGUGGCGCUUAGUGGCCGACGGGUGAGUAACGCGUGAGGAACCUGCCUUACAGAGGGGGACAACAGUUGGAAACGACUGCUAAUACCGCAUGAUGUGGAGGAGAGACAUCUCCCUUUCACCAAAGGAGCAAUCCGCUGUAAGAUGGCCUCGCGUCUGAUUAGAUAGUUGGUGGGGUAACGGCCUACCAAGUCGACGAUCACUAGCCGGACUGAGAGGUUGAACGGCCACAUUGGGACUGAGACACGGCCCACACUCCUACGGGAGGCAGCAGUGGGGGAUAUUGCACAAUGGAGGAAACUCUGAUGCAGCAACGCCGCGUGAGGGAAGAAGGUUUUCGGAUUGUAAACCUCUGUUUUUAGUGAAGAAACAAAUGACGGUAGCUAAAGAGGAAGCCACGGCUAACUACGUGCCAGCAGCCGCGGUAAUACGUAGGUGGCAAGCGUUGUCCGGAAUUACUGGGUGUAAAGGGUGCGCAGGCGGGAUUGCAAGUUGGAUGUGAAAUACCGGGGCUUAACCCCGGAGCUGCAUCCAAAACUGUAGUUCUUGAGUGGAGUAGAGGUAAGCGGAAUUCCGAGUGUAGCGGUGAAAUGCGUAGAUAUUCGGAGGAACACCAGUGGCGAAGGCGGCUUACUGGGCUCUAACUGACGCUGAGGCACGAAAGCAUGGGUAGCAAACAGGAUUAGAUACCCUGGUAGUCCAUGCUGUAAACGAUGAAUGCUAGGUGUGGGGGGACUGACCCCUUCCGUGCCGGAGUAAACACAAUAAGCAUUCCACCUGGGGAGUACGACCGCAAGG